UUGGGAUUGCGGUUGUUGUUUUGAGGAAUUGUCGACUCCAGAGAUCUACACAUGAAGAACAUGUGAUAUGAUGUUCGAUCAAGAUAUGGUGAGAUCAAGGAGAAUAACGCAAAACCAUCAACCACUGAUGAAUGCUAAAAAUGAGACAUCAAAGUAACAUUUCUUAUUAUUAUGAUUAUGGUUUUAGUAACUUAAUAUUUACAAUUUUUGUAUUUUAUUUAUUUUAUCGUUUGCAGUUUUCUUUAAUGUCAUUAAUAACUGUUUUAUCUUUGUGUUGGUUGUUGACUAAAAUCAUGUUUGGGGUCAUUUGGGGAUUUUUUUGAUGGGACCAUAAUGCUUUAUUUGUUUGCUUUUGUAAUAAUUCUAAUAAUUCAGUUCAGAGUUCAUAGCAAAGUUCAUAGAGUUUGACUUUAAAAUAUUUUUGUCUUUGUAAUUGGAAAUAACUCAACCUAACACAAUCUGUUUUUUCCAUACACGAAAGUGAACGUUAAAAGCUAUUUUUGACAUGUGGAAAAUAUAUUUUAAACGAUUAUUAACAUUUGUCUAAGUUUUAUAUUGUAAUCAGUGGUGUAGUCCUUGCUAUACACACGUAUACUCGGUAUGCCUACUUUUUUCCAUGAGCUGUUUGGGUAUUACCACUUCUGAGGAUCAAUAAUUGCAUAUACCCUCGGUAUACUCACUUAUUUUUCUGAUUAAACUUCCCUAAUUUUGGUGUAUUUUUAAAAUUCUUACUUAAAAAUGUAUAUGUGAGUAAAUGUAUAUACCUUUUUCUUUGUUUACCCCAAAAUGAUCUGUUCCUGUUCCGCCCUAAAAUGAAAAUCCUAAAAUCACCCCUGCACAACAGUAUUUCACAUUUGUCUUAAUCGUGCCUACCGCUACAGGGAACGACACUAUAUAUAUAUAAAUAUAUAUAUAUAAACAAAAAAAAUGAUGAGUCAAAGACUACUCAUAAAUCGCAUAACAAUAUGCGAUUUUAAAGGGAAACUACUAGUAUAUAAUAGCCACAACAGAAGACAGACUCCUAAUAGUUUGGUUUAAAACAGGCAUGCACGAAUGUGACAAUCAAAAAUAAUGGCUGAUUGAUGUUUAAAUAAACCUAUUAAUGUAAAGUAAUAAGCCAAUAAAGAAAGUAAGUAAAAAAACCUUUGAUUGGCAAGG